rnacentral:rRNA from 1 species
UACGUAGGGUGCGAGCGUUAAUCGGAAUUACUGGGCGUAAAGCGUGCGCAGGCGGUUCGUUGUGUCGGCGGUGAAAGCCCCGGGCUUAACCUGGGAAUGGCCGUUGAAACUGGCGAACUGGAGUCUGGCAGAGGGGGGGUAGAAUUCCACGUGUAGCAGUGAAAUGCGUAGAGAUGUGGAGGAACACCGAUGGCGAAGGCAGCCCCCCUGGGUCAAGACUGACGCUCAUGCACGAAAGCGUGGGGAGCAAACAGG